UACGUAGGGAGCGAGCGUUGUCCGGAAUUACUGGGUGUAAAGGGAGCGUAGGCGGGACUGCAAGUUGGGUGUCAAAUCUACCGGCUCAACCGGUAGCCGCACUCAAAACUGCAGUUCUUGAGUGAAGUAGAGGCAGGCGGAAUUCCUAGUGUAGCGGUGAAAUGCGUAGAUAUUAGGAGGAACACCAGUGGCGAAGGCGGCCUGCUGGGCUUUUACUGACGCUGAGGCUCGAAAGCGUGGGGAGCAAACAGG
rnacentral:rRNA from 1 species